UCCUCUAGGCUACUAUGAGGGAUGGAGGGGGGGGGGGGUUGCCUAUUCUGGGGUGCCAUGUACUUGACUGACCUCAUGCCCAGGAACAAACUCCCAUGGGAACAUCUCUGAAAACUUGGAUUCAAUCGGAGGAUUUCCCAAAGAAAAUUCUGCCCAACAAGUCUGAGAGAUAGGAUGGGGAGGAGAAGCCGGUGUGGGAGGGAAAGGGGAAAUGUGUGAAGUGGCUGCCCACCCCAUCCCCACACCCAGACCCAACCGGACAGGAUGAGACCGGGCUUGUGGGCGGAAGGAAACGCUGCGGUUUUCUCCUUCGGGAGAACACAGGGCUUUAGAGAAACACAAAAGUAGCCUCAGUUUCCUCAUUCGUCCAACGAGCCGGAGAAGGAAAUGGUAAACCACUCCAGUGUCUUUGCCAAGAAAAUCCCAAAUGGGUUGGCGGAGAGACGGAAAAUCUGAAUAAUAAUAAGUGCCUCCCAACGCUUUGCACUGAUUUGGGCUGUGUUCCAUUAUUUAUUGAUUUGAGUUAAGUUCUUUUCCCGGGAAAAUGGCUAGCCUUUGAGGGCGGGGAUCCGGUUUGCAGCCCCAGCGCGGAGCCUGGCGUGGGGAGAAGGAGACUAAAGACCUGUAGAACACCCCGAGAAACGACGCCGGUUCUCUAGAAGGUAGAGAGAUCAGCACCCCCUUUCUGCGGCGGAGCAAACUGAGGCCGAAGGGAAGGAGGCCCCUCGGCGCGAGGGGGAGGCGCGGGGGACGCACUGCAAAGCUGGGGGGAGGGGUUCCCCGGCUACCCGGUUCAUAAAAGGGAGCUGCCUCCUUCCAGCCCGGCAGCAGCCGGCCCAUUUUGCAUAGCCCGCAUCCGAGUCAUGAGGUCGAAGGGUAAGUGAUAAAGGCAGGGCUAGCUGCCCUCAGAGCCUCGGCUGCUCCGCCCGGGAUCGGAAGAGCGAGGCGCGUGGAUAGCGGGGCCAGGGGCUCGUGGGACUGGGACAGCCGCUCGCGGCCACCGGAGGACAGAGAAGCGGCUUUAACGGACAGGCCUAAGGGCGUGGGGCGGCCGCGAGGCGGGAGGAGGCGAGUGCAACAGAACGGCCCGAAGGCCCGGCAGCCGCAGGACCCGCAGCUACAGACCGGGGAGCGGGAGUGGGGGGGGCGGGAGGGGGGAGGCAAAGCCUGGGGCGGGGCCUGUAGGGGCGUGGCCGAACGGGCGGCGUGGCCUAUCAGGAGACGGCGCCGAAGGGAGCCGAGCCCGAGCGGACGGAGCCGAGCGGAGCCCGAACGAGGUGUAGACCAUGGCGGAGACAGGAGGCGGGGCCCGGAACCGGGCCGAUAUGUCCAUGGGGCUUAAGUGGUUCAAGAUGGACCGGUGCAGAUCUUCGAUAUCCGUGGAGGGCAAGCAGCACGCCUGGCAGUGGUGCCGGGAGUUCCUGGGCGGAGCCUGGCGCCAAAUCCAGGUCGAGCAGCUGCAAGUGAGCCCCAUAAGCGGGGGGCUCAGUAACCUGCUUUUCCGAUGCGCCCUCCCGGAGAAUAUACCCCUUGUUGGGGACGAGCCCCGGGAAGUGUUGCUGAGGCUCUAUGGGGCCAUUCUGCAGGGGGUGGACUCCCUAGUCCUGGAGAGUGUGAUGUUUGCCAUCCUGGCUGAGCGUCGGCUGGGACCUCGGCUUUAUGGGGUCUUUCCAGAAGGGAGGCUGGAGCAAUACAUUCCGAGCCGGCCGCUGGGGACAAACGAGCUGAAGGAGCCCAGGAGGUCGGCCGAGAUUGCUGUCAAAAUGGCCCGGUUCCAUCUGAUGGAGAUGCCCUUCAACAAGGAACCUCGGUGGCUCUUUGGGACCAUGGAGAGGUACAUGAAGCAGAUCCAGGACUUGAUUCCUCCCACUAAGACCAACGAAAAUCUGAUCCAGAGGUACCACCUGGAGGAAGAGAUGAGCAUGCUACGCUUUGUUCCCCACCCCUGGACCCCCCACCCCAAGCAAAGCGUGUCUCCCCACUGCAGAAAGCUUCUGGAUUCAACAGCCUCCCCAGUGGUAUUCUGUCACAAUGACAUCCAAGAAGGGAACAUCCUGCUGCUUUCUGACAAGGAGCCUGGACUUAUGCUCAUAGAUUUUGAGUACAGCAGCUACAAUUACAGGGGUUUUGACAUCGGGAACCACUUCUGUGAGUGGAUUUAUGACUACAGCUACGAGGAAUCUCCCUACUUCCUGAUGGAACCUAAAAACUACCCCAACCGGGAACAGCAGGUGAGGAUUUCCAUCUGUGGCUGCUGCCCAACACUCGUUCCUGAAGAGUUGGCUGAGUGACUUGGCUAGGGUCACGCAGCCUGGGUAGCCCGAGCCCAACUCUUCCCGGCUCUCACUGUGCCUUGCACGUAGCGGGCGCUCCGCAAAGCUUCAUUUCAUCCGAAAUUACCUGUCAGUAAUCCAGGGGGAUGAUCCUCCCUCCCCAGAAGAGCAGACUGAAUUGGAAGAGAAUAUGCUGGUG